AGAGAUGUGUGAUGACGCAUAUCAAUAAGCGGAGGAAAAGAAACUAACAAGGAUUCCCUUAGUAACGGCGAGUGAAGCGGGAAGAGCUCAAAUUUGAAAUCUUCAAGGUUCUACCUUGACGAAUUGUAGUUUAUAGAAGUGUUUUCUGUUAGUAGAGUGGCAAAAGUUCUUUGGAAUAGGACAUCAUAGAGGGUGAGAAUCCCGUAUUUGGUCAUUCUUUCUAGCUUUGUGAUACACUUUCAACGAGUCGGAUUGUUUGGGAAUGCAGUCCAAAAUGGGUGGUAAAUUUCAUCUAAAGCUAAAUAUUGGCGAGAGACCGAUAGCGAACAAGUACCGUGAGGGAAAGAUGAAAAGAACUUUGAAAAGAGAGUUAAACAGUACGUGAAAUUGUCAAAAGGGAAGCGUUUGACACCAGUGUUGUUUUUCCGAAAAUCAAUUACGAAUGUUUUGUUUUUAAGAAGUUAUGACUUCAUCGGCUUGCUUCUCUCUUUACUGAAACUUUCUUAAUGCACUUUUCGGUUAACAAGUCAACAUCAAUUUCUUUUGUUGUAAAAGGGUAUGAGGAAGGUGGCUUUCUUUUCGGAGAAAGUGUUUAUAGCCUUGUACCUCUGCAAUCGGAGAGAUUGAGGUCUGCAGCGUAGAUCCUUCGGGGUUAGAUACAUUUGUGCUAAGCUAUAGCCUUGUAUAGACAACUUGUUGACUAUGCUCAGUCAUGUAGCUUACUCGUAGAUGCUAUUUUACCUACGCUUAGGAUGUUGAAGAUGUAGCACAUCAU
rnacentral:rRNA from 1 species